UGGUUAGAGUGUAGAGGCGGCAGGGUAGCCUAGUGGUUAGAGUGUAGAGGCGGCAGGGUAGCCUAGUGGUUAGAGUGUAGAGGCGGCAGGGUAGCCUAGUGGUUAGAGUGUAGAGGCGUCAGGGUAGCCUAGUGGUUAGAGUGUAGAGGCGGCAGGGUAGCCUAGUGGUUAGAGUGUAGAGGUGUCAGGGUAGCCUAGUGGUUAGAGUGUAGAGGCGGCAGGGUAGCCUAGUGGUUAGAGUGUAGAGGCGGCAGGGUAGCCUAGUGGUUAGAGUGUGGAGGCGACAGGGUAGCCUAGUGGUUAGAGUGUAGAGGCGGCAGGGUAGCCUAGUGGUUAGAGUGUAGAGGCGGCAGAGUAGCCUAGUGGUUAGAGUGUAGAGGCGGCAGGGUAGCCUAGUGGUUAGAGUGUGGAGGCGGCAGGGUAGCCUAGUGGUUAGAGUGUGGAGGCGGCAGGGUAGCCUAGUGGUUAGAGUGUGGAGGCGGCAGGGUAGCCUAGUGGUUAGAGUGUAGAGGCGGCAGAGUAGCCUAGUGGUUAGAGUGUAGAGGCGGCAGGGUAGCCUAGUGUUUAGAGUGUAGAGGCGGCAGGGUAGCCUAGUGGUUAGAGUGUAGAGGCGGCAGGGUAGCCUAGUGGUUAGAGUGUAGAGGCGGCAGGGUAGCCUAGUGGUUAGAGUGUAGAGGUGGCAGGGUAGCCUAGUGGUUAG
ensembl:lncRNA